UCACUACAAUGGCUCUGGGCUUGUCGUGGUCACCUCGCAGCACCAUCCCUAUUGACUCGCCAUUCAGCCUGUGAACGUUGACAGAAUUUGUGGCCUCACAGGUCCAAUACAAGGUAUGGCUGUAUAUAUCAAUGCUGAGGUCAUGUGGCUGCUUCUCUGGGUUCUGGCUUUGGUUUGGAGAGCUCAUGACAGUAAAAGGCUGAGUGCCAUCAUCUUUGGCUCUUUUUAUAAUAUUCUGACGCCCAUCUACCCAGUAAAUCAAUUUAUCUAAGGGAUCAUAAUCAAUAGCCU
rnacentral:lncRNA from 1 species